AACGUAGGAGGCAAGCGUUAUCCGGAUUUACUGGGCGUAAAGGGCGUGCAGGUGGCUUUGUAAGUGGUGCGUGAAAGCGCUCGGCUCAACCGGGCGAGGCCGUGCCAAACUGCGGAGCUAGAAACAGGCAGAGGAAAGUGGAAUUCGGGGUGUAGUGGUGAAAUGCGUAGAGAUCCCGAGGAACUCCAGUGGCGAAGGCGACUUUCUGGGCCUGCUUUGACACUCAGACGCGAAAGCAUGGGGAGCGAACGGG
rnacentral:rRNA from 1 species